AAGGAGCACUUCUACGCAACGCUCUUCACACAGGUGAAUGAGAAUGCGUCAGAGACCGUUUAGUCCUCAUAUGUAGGGCUGCGGACGCUCAUGGGUGGAACACUGACAACCUCAUCGCACUCGGAACGAGCUCGGUCUUGUUCCGCGGUGAUAUACCGACACACUAUUGGGUCCUGAAAGAACAGACGCGAGUCUGGCUUUCUGGAUAAUCAACAAACGAUCCGCUCGGAUCUUCGAGAUACCGCCGACAACGGAAGUUGUCGAGUUGGUCUUGGAAUUGUGUCUGGGUGGGUGUGUUGUUUGAGAACUGCACAGUGGACGCGAGCAUCUUUGUUA
rnacentral:misc_RNA from 1 species